GUUUGUUACAUCAAUGGUUUACCCUCUUCCCUCCAGUCGAGGAGAAAGGAAUGUUUUACAGAGGAAAAGUGAACAUGUUGAUAAAACCAAACCACGAUCCAAUUUACGGCCGACAUGCGAGUCGCGCGCCGAUGACGUCAGAGCGUCUGCGUUAUCCGCUCCCCCGAUAUUUAUAAAAAUUAAUGAGUCGAUUAAUGGAAGAGCGAUACUGAUAAAUCGGAAAGGCCGGUAGGAGAACAAUGAAUUUCAAACGGUUUCGGGGAGUCAGGAACCACAGACGUGGGAAAGGCACCAUCGGUUGCUUGAGUCAAAGAAUUAAAGCAGAGAAUCCUCAGCUGUAGUUAUCUUUUCUGAGUUGCAAAAUUAGUUCCAUAAAGAAAUAUCCACGCACCACAUUUUAUUUCUUAGUAUAAUAAAGGUUUUCUAAAUUUCCAUAGUGCCAAAGUUUUAAUAAAGAAGCAGAAAUGUUUUUUGUACAUUGUUUUGAAACAAAUUUGUACAGUUGGGAUUUUACUACAUUUUUAGUGAGAUGUGCCUGAUCACAAUUGCACAUUUUUCGUGCAAGCUUUUGCAUUUCCCAACAUUUGGCUCAAAUGUCAUAUAGUAUCUGCCUUCCUAGGAUACUAGGCAGUUUCAAUAAGCUUUGAGCAAUCAAAUGACAUUUCAGAAUUAAUUUAAAACAACCAUUAAUCAGUUUUUAAAAAAUGAAAACUGAUUUAUUUGACUUAAUUAUGCAUGGUACUUUUUGUAUAUGCUUUGGAAAACAUAUUUGUUCAAUUUCAUGUUUUGAGCUUUCGUAGAUACUGACAUUUACACAGACAUUGUAGAUAUAGACAAAGUGAGCGAUAUGUUUCUCCCCAAAUAUUUUCAGAAGCCAUAUGCACAGUCGCUAGCAUUUUUCAGUAUCUUUUGCAAAAGUGAUUUUGUAUACUGAAAUUAGGAAAUUGCUGCUUCUAUAUAUACAAUACUACAUUUAUAUAAUAUAUAGUAUUUAAAUAUUGUAAGCAUUGAAUAAGGGGGUUGCAAGCUGUGGUUUGAAUAAAUCAAUGUCCAGUUCUAAUUUUUCACGCUAUUUAUUGUACUUUAUGGUAUGAGUACAGUGAGGAGAGCAUCCAAGUAGAUUGGUCAUGCUUUAUAUAUAUAUAUAAAUAUCUAUAUAGUGUUAGAAAUUCACCACUAUAGUUAUUUGCAUUUAGUUUAUCUUGGCUUUUGAAAACAAUUGCCAUUUGUGCUUCAUCCACUUCAAUAAUGUUUGUGUUAGAUUUUUUUCCAAAACUAACAAUGAUACAUUUACAGCACUAGGUAAGGUAAAACAGUUAACAUGUGUACUUAGAUUUAGAUAUGGUUUUUCUAUUUCUGUAGAAAUAUUGAUCUCUUUUUUAAAAAAAAAAAUUGGAUCAUGAUUACAGUAUUGGCUGGUCCUGGUGAAUGAUGCAUUUUUAUAAUGCUAAAGAAUCAUUUGCACAUUUAUUAUAUAAGUACUGGAUGUUAAAUUUUUGAAAGCUUGAUUAUUUGUUUGAACUUUGGUUGUUCAACUAUACAGGCACAUACAAGCCCUCAAUCAAGUUAGUUUGGAGCUGCACAAGUGACUCUUCAAAGCGGUUUAGCAUUAUAUUUACUAUUUUUAAUAUUCACCAAGAAUGCUAGUAAAGCAUGAAUUCUUUAAAUGCAUCAUGAUAAAAUCAUUGCUCUUGGUCACAUUUUCAUACUUAAAAUAUAUGAACAAUGUUUGAGUUUUUAAAUAUAGUGAAGACUUAAUUUAGCACAACAUUAGUGCAAUUUGUACAGCUUUUCCAAACACUGUUUGAGAGAUGCUGCACCAGAUGUUAUUUAGGGCUUGCUAGCAUCACAGUUGUUAAUUUGUGCAGAGUGCUAGUUGCCUAAAUCGUAAUGGUUUAGUAUCCUAUAUUUUUUUAAAACUUUAAUAAAUGUCACUGUGGUUCUGAACAGUGAAAUCUUAAGACCAAGCAUUGUUGAAUAGAGGCAAUGUCAGAACUUUCCCUUCUAGCUGUACUCCAUAAGACUGACAGAAAAUGCAUUUUGAAAGUUUUUACAUGUCACAACUAUAUAUUAAAUCAACGUUUUAGAAACCCUCAUUCGUCAUUAAUUGAUUUUUUUUUCCUUCUAAUCCAAAUUUCUUGAUAGGUAACCUAGUGAUGUAGGUACAUUUAGUUUUGACACUGCUCAAAAAUCCAUGUACAACUGCUCCACCAAUGAGAAUUAACCAACAUGUAGGUGAAUCAGCAAAUUGCCAACAUCUAAUAAAUAACAACUUCACUCUUUUUAUUUUGGCUUAUGUGCUAUUUUGUUUGUUGAACCACAUUGUCUGUAAGGUUCUGAGAACAAUCACAUCAAAAAUGAUCAGCAAAGAUUUGGAACAAAUUUUGAAAAAAUCUGAAUAUCUGACAUUAUCAGCCAGCAUCCAUGCCAUUGAUAGCUUUCUAGGAAACCUAAAUGUGCCGUUAUCUGGGUCAUUGGAGAUUUUUAUACAAACUUAUUUAAUCUGUUAUUCUUGCAGCUAAUGUUUUUACAUUGAUAUCAUUUAGCUGUCUACUGUCUUGAUGUUUAGGUUUUAUGUAGGUUUGACAAAUUCUUUUCCAUUGACUACAAUGAUUGUAUUAUGUGAACUUGACACAUUUCAAAAUAAAUCUUCAUUUUAAAGUGUU